UCCUUCAUGUCUACUGCCAUACCACGCAAUACCUUCUCCCAUUCUCCAGCGGUUCCGCAUCCCUGCAACACCAAUAGGCUCGCAGCCUUCCGGCUGCUGAUCCUCCAUCAUAGUCUUCGACCCCUCCCCGCACCCCGCUAGCGCGACACCCGCUGCCCCGCUCGCACAUGUAGGUGUUGGUCAGCGUCUAUCUCGCUUAUCCCGCGGCGGAGCUCGCCCGAUCGUUGUCGGUGCCAUGGCCAUCUUGCACAUGGAGCCACCUCCGCCGCCAUCCGCCAGCCUCGGCGACGAGCGCAACCCCGAGUACUAAGAGGCUAUGCGAGGACGAUGAGGCCGAAGAGUCCAAGUUUGUUCCUUGGCCGCCACCCUUCCUCUCGCAUGCGACCACUGUACCAUCUCGCCGCACGAGCACGACACCCCCGCUACCAUCCCUCGAACGACGCCCUAUCCUCGCCUCCGGCUGCCUCCUGAAUCCCCCCACCAUGCCGCCUCACCUCGCCGACUCACUUGCACCUGGCAACCGCCGACGCCGGAUCCCGUCUCCAUGGUCAGCAUCGUCGGUUGCCUCCCGCUGCCCGGCCACUUCCAUCUUCUCAAAGAAGCCGACGGCACUGGGCUCUUGCUGCCACGCACCUCCCCGUGUCCGGCCGGUGGCAGCAUGUCGAAUUGGUCGCCAUACCACCAAGUAGCCAACGGUAACUGCCUGGAGUGCCUUUCUCUGCCCGAAGAUCUCAUUUCCGAUCUGGAUUCUAGCAACUAUGGGGCACAAUAAUCACCGCUUUUGUCUGCAUAACCUUGCCAUUAAUCCAAGUAAGCACUCCUUUUUUGCUUGUUGUAUGUACCCUGUGAUAGUUGCUUGGUUGCUUUUGUUGCUGUUGGCACUGGUUAUCAUGGGAGAGUUGGAGAGAGCACAUGGAUAAGCAGCUCACCCGCUUCCUGAACCAAAAUUUCGAUUUUGCAUGAACGGUUGUUCUCUGUUCUCAAACUUUCUUUUGAUUUUAGGUCUGUAUGUAUGAAUGGUAGUGUUUGCUCGAUGCUGAUUGGUAUAAGGACAGAAGGAUGUAUGUAGCUUUUUCAUCUGUUGGACAAUUGGAUGUUUCACACUAACGUAAUUGAGUGAGGCUUGGUAUUCAGGACAAAGUUAUUAACGAAGGUUGACUUAGCUAGGUCCUGCAGAUGCAAGAUACAGUAUGCGAGACGAUUGGAUUAUCAUUUGCGACAAUGUUAUUGUCAUUAGUGUUCUAGCGGCAUUAUUUAUAGUCCCCGAGGCAUUAUUUAUAGUUCAUAAUUUUUACAUAAAUCAUAAAUCUGAAAUGUUCAAGCAAAAUCAUAUGACUUGUUUAGCUCAGAAAUUGACAGAUGUAGGAAACUAAAUUCUUCCAUGUCCGAGACAUUUCUUUUGAGUUCAGUUUUCUCCAACAUCUUAUUCUUAGGGAUGUCUAAACUGAUAGAGAGCAAUUAACAGCAGAAAUUGUCUCAAGAACCUUAGGAGCUGAAUGUGAGUAAGCUUUGCAUGGAACCAAAUUUUCAGUUAUAAUGGCACAAGAUUUAGUUUCCUCCGGUAUCUCACUCAUGGGCAUAUCUCAUGUACCGGAGCCAUCCACACCGACUGUAUAGGACCAGGCCUCCACUGCUCCGGCGCUUCACCAGGCAGGCGGCCACCAGGGUUAUGUUCUACUCUCCAUCCUUCCUUUCUUCCGCAUCCAUUCCGCUCACUACAUUUUUUUCAUGCAGUGCGAGGAAAUUGGACUAAAGAUGAUGGAUACUAAUGAGGAAGUGGGACAGUGGGAGGAUUGCCGAAGCUGGCCAAGCAAAAGGGCCCUGCAUCGAGGUUGAUGGAGACGAUUGAGCUACUCGCCGAUUAUUGGUAACAAUGUAGAGAAGCUCUAUCAAAUUGCCUUGUUUGGAGCAGAACCAUAGGGUUCAGGUUGCAGCUCACUGUGCAGUUAAGAUCAUAGGGUCAAAAAUUCCACGUGAACUCUUUAGUUCAUAUCGUCUUUACUACCAGCUUGGUUAAAUUUUCUUUGGGAUACCAGCUUGGUUAAUUGUUGCCCUAUCUUUCAUAUAAUUGAGCCCAUAGGUGGUACCGACAAUGCUAUAGAUGUUUAUUUUGUUUUA